UACGAAGGGUGCAAACGUUAUUCGGAAUGACUGGGCGUAAAGGGCGCGUAGACGGUAUGUUAAGUCUGUUGUUAAAUUCUUUGGCCUAACCAAGGGUAAGCACCAGAUACUGGCAUGCUUGAGGGUGGAAGAGAGAAGUGGAAUUCUCGGAGUAGCGGUAAAAUGCGUAGAUCUCGAGAGGAACACCGAUGGCGAAGGCAGCUUCUUGGUCCAUACCUGACGUUGAGGCGCGAAAGCGUGGGGGAGCAAACAGG
rnacentral:rRNA from 1 species